GAAAUGCGAUAAGUAAUGUGAAUUGCAGAAUUCAGUGAAUCAUCGAAUCUUUGAACGCACAUUGCGCCUAUUAGUAUUCUGGCGGGCAUGCCUGUCCGAGCGUCAUUUCAACCAUCAAGCCCCCGGGCUUGUGUUGGGGACCUGCGGCUGCCCGCAGGCCCUGAAAACCAGUGGCGGGCUCGCUGUCACACCGAGCGUAGUAGCAAUCACCUCGCUCAGGGCGUGCUGCGGGUUCCGGCCGUUAAACAGCCUUACAAAACCCAAGGUUGACCCCGGAUCAGGUAGGAAGACCCGCUGAACUUAAGC
rnacentral:misc_RNA from 1 species